rnacentral:rRNA from 1 species
CCUACGGGUGGCAGCAGUGAGGAAUAUUGGUCAAUGGGCGCGAGCCUGAACCAGCCAAGUAGCGUGAAGGAUGACUGCCCUACGGGGGGUAAACUUCGUUGAUAAAGGAAUAAAGUGAGGCACGUGUGCCUUUUUGUAUGUACUUUAUGAAUAAGGAUCGGCUAACUCCGUGCCAACAGCCGCGGUAAUACGGAGGAGCCGAGCGUUAUCCGGAUUUAUUGGGUUUAACGGGAGCGUAGAUGGGUGGUGAAGUCAGUUGUGAAAGUUUGCGGCUCAACCGUAAAAUUGCAAUUGAUACUGGCAGUCUUGCGUACAGUUGCGGUAGGCGGACUUCGUUGUGUAGCUG